AACAGGAUUAGAUACCCUGGUAGUCCACGCCGUAAACGAUGUCGACUUGGAGGUUGUGCCCUUGAGGCGUGGCUUCCGGAGCUAACGCGUUAAGUCGACCGCCUGGGGAGUACGGCCGCAAGGUUAAAACUCAAAUGAAUUGACGGGGGCCCGCACAAGCGGUGGAGCAUGUGGUUUAAUUCGAUGCAACGCGAAGAACCUUACCUACUCUUGACAUCCAGAGAACUUGGCAGAGAUGCCUUGGUGCCUUCGGGAACUCUGAGACAGGUGCUGCAUGGCUGUCGUCAGCUCGUGUUGUGAAAUGUUGGGUUAAGUCCCGCAACGAGCGCAACCCCUAUCCUUUGUUGCCAGCGAUUCGGUCGGGAACUCAAAGGAGACUGCCGGUGAUAAACCGGAGGAAGGUGGGGAUGGCGUCAAGUCAUCAUGGCCCUUACGAGUAGGGCUACACACGUGCUACAAUGGCGCAUACAAAGAGAAGCGACCUCGCGAGAGCAAGCGGACCUCAUAAAGUGCGUCGUAGUCCGGAUCGGAGUCUGCAACUCGACUCCGUGAAGUCGGAAUCGCUAGUAAUCGUAGAUCAGAAUGCUACGGUGAAUACGUUCCCGGGCCUUGUACACACCGCCCGUCACACCAUGGGAGUGGGUUGCAAAAGAAGUAGAUAGCUUAACCUUCGGGAGGGCGUUUACCACUUUGUGAUUCAUGACUGGGGUGAAGUCGUAACAAGGUAACC
rnacentral:rRNA from 1 species